UAAGACGGCAGUCGAAUGGUCAUGGCUUAUUCCCUGUUGCGUCACUGCAAUUAGUAAUACAAUCACAUCAUUGAAAUCAAUUCUGGACGAUUGGAUGGCAGCAACCCUAAUUCUCCCGGUGGAGAAGACGAACCGUACAAACGAGUAAGUUUUCAUCCAUUUAUAUCCAGUUUCAUCAGAUUGUUAUAAAGGAGAGUGAGGCGUGAGGGUUCCCUUCACCGUCGUUGCCAACCCCACUGCCACUGUCUGACGCGAUGGUUGUUGCUUGCGGACUGAUUGAAGAUGAACGAAGGCGAGAUUAUUCAACACAUUCGGCGGACCACAGAUGUACCGAAAAAACCAACUCUAUAAGAUGUUGACGCCCUCAUCAGCUUGGAACUUGAUGUUGCUGUGAUGAAUUCUGCAACAAUCAAGGAUUUGAAACCUUUUGUCGAGAAAAAAAGUCAAUGAAAUGGAGCAGACAAAUAUGAGCCAUGAGGCCAUCGCCAUAUUAUCUUGAAUCAGAAUAACUACUAUUGGGCUCAAUAUACUUGUUGCACCAUGGUCGGUGAAUCAUGGUUCCAUGGUCUGUGGAAGCCUUCAAGAAAACUUGACAUUGGUCUAGAUAAGGUGCGAAUUGGAGUGCUGGUAUUUGAAGUAGCAAGUGUGAUGUCAAAACGAGACACUUUGAGAAAAAAGAUGCAAUGUGUACUGGUCAACCUGGUCACUGGUCAGGAUAAUUCACUGGAAAUGCUGUACUGGGUGGAUACUGGUUAUGCUGGCGAAAGGAUCUUCUAAAAAUGGGUUCAUGUGCCACUACAAGUGGAAGUGACUUAUGUUAUAUGGUAGUUCUUCAGUAUGGUCAGUUGUCUUGUUAAUGUUUGUGAUCAAAGAAAUUGAUUGGUAUCUGAAAAUCGUUGAAAUAUAUGCUUAAGGCCAUUACCUGAGAUGGUGAGUUGUCAUUAAAGAUGUCCACAUCUACCGUCAUAACGAAAAUCCAUUGUUCUUUUAUGCUCAUACAAUCUCUUACAUCGUUUUUUUUUUUGUGAUUUUCUUAGCUUAACCUGCAUAUUGGAAUAUAAAUUUGUGACCUUUAUCAUGUGUAAUACUCAGAAUACGAGGUCAAAGAGAACCAACACUAGACAUGUGGAUGCAAGGUGGAUUAGAUCAUAUAAUGUUGCACUUGAUUAUUAUGUUCGCCAGGUUGAUGAGAUGGUUGGAGAAUUUACUGAUAUAAAAAGUGGCAUGGCAAAAACCGGAACCAUUUGGAUAAUGAGGAAAAAAACUGUUUCAAUUGGUGGGAAAGGCAAAUUCAAAUCUGCAUGUGAUUCUUAAGCUUGGACUUUUAAACCAACCCAACCUGACCCGAAACCCGUUCUGCCCCGAAACCCGUUCCGACCCGAACCCGUUUGACCCAUGACCCGACCCGUUUGCCCGGUCUAAUUCCCACACACUGAUUACUUUUAAGAAAUGAAAGCUGGCUUUUGUUACUGAAACAUGAGGGACUGACUUAUAUACUGGAACAGUAGGGACCUAAAAUAUGUGAUCACAACAUCUUAAAGUUACAUGAGAAAUCUUUAAAGCACAAUUCCUGGGCAAAGACAAUGGAGUCAAAGACGGUCAGCCUAUGGAGGAAGAAUCUAACUGUUGUAUAUGGCACUGGAAAGCCAAAGUGAAGCAUUCAGAAUCCGAAGCAUCAAAGGCAUUACCAACGCCUCGACUAGUGGAUCUGGCAAAUUGUUUUCUUGUUAAAGUCUAUGGAUCAAACCCCACACCGAUGGCUACACACGGGUUUGGAACCAAUGGCCGGAGGAUCUCUCUGUUGACCAACCAUUUUUAUUGUGAAAUUGAGCACCAACGGUGACCACCUAUAUCAACUAUUAGUCUAUUAGUACAGUGUAUCCCUUCUACUCUUAUAUAUAUAUAUAUAUACAGUUUGUACACUCAGAGAUCGAAUGUUUAAACCCUCUUUGUCAA